CAGACAGGAACUUUACAUGAUGAUCAAUAUAUGUGGAAACAUCACAAAAGCAAAUCAAAGCCAUAUUAUAACAUUGGUGAUGAUGAGACGCAUGAUUUCUUAUCCAAAUGUAAAAAUAAUAUUCUUGGAGUACCUGCUGACCUAUGUCCAAGAAGACUGCAUCAGAACACUACUUUAAGGUUUAUGCACCGUUUUAUAUAACAUAAUAUAUAAUAUAAGUUAGAUUGAUUACAAUAUUGACAUUUUCACUGCAAGAAAAGUGUUUUCAGUAGCCUAUGUAUGUGAUUUAUUUAGGUAACAGAAACACUGGCUACAUACAAACUAAAGUUUUUAUAAAUGACACAGGAUAGCUAGCCUAUAAAUAUAUUUAGUAGACGGCAUAUAUAUUUGUUUCAAGCAUCGUCAUGAAUACAUUAAUAGUAGUAAUAGUCACCAGUAGCCUAACUUAGCUAAUCAUACUAUUCAAACAGCAAUUAAUGCCCCACAAAUGAAAUGUAUAAAAAGCUAAACAAAAAAAACAAAACAAAAAAAAAAUGAUUAAGAAACUAUAUAUCCCAAGGUUAGCAUAGGUUAUUCGCUUAUUGUUUUUCUGUGUUCCUUCAAUCAAGCAAGCAAAUCAGCUUACAGACGAUUAAUAUUACACAAACUGCAUUGUUUUGACACGGUUACAAUGCUUAAGUGCUUAAGAUAGACACUUCGUUACCUUUUCAAAAUAAUCCAAAUAGCGUUUUGAGAAGCGUGCACUAAUCAGGGAACUAAUGCAUGUUCAUGUAAACUCCACCCACGGGAACAGUUUUUCACGGGAACCGAAUAUUACACAACACCGGACGCGAACGGUGCGACGCGACCCGUGAAAUCCCCAACUGCACACGGAUUCCCCUCCUAUUUCUGACCUAGUCCCAGCUCUUUGCAACAGUCGCUUCAAGCACAGAGUUGCGUCGCGCCGCUUGCGUCCUGUCUGUUCUAAUCAAUUUUAUACAAAAUAUUACUAACAAACACCAGAGAUCGCUUAGACAAAAUGUUUCUCGUGCUGAGAAAGCUAAUCUAACACUUACCCCCGGGCGAUUCAUGAUCAGAGUCAGAGAGUGGCAACCUCUUGAACCACCACCACGUUCGCGCUGGAAAACUUUUCUGAGAUCAUCUACUCUUCCCUGUGGAUGACCUGUGACCUACUUUCUGGAGACCCUGGUACACCCUUUCCUACCAUACAGCUGAUGAAUACGGACUGUAAAAUGGCAUUCAUAGUAGGAGGGCUCAGUGUGUUGACAGAAGAUGGAAUAGACAUGCCAGUGCACCAUGAAGCCUUCAUAACAGCCUUCUGGAUGUAUACUGCUUUCAACAUUGCAUAUCCAACACACCUGAGAAAGACACUGACUUUCCUUCAGAGGCACAUUGUCAGAAGAUAGAGACAAGCACUGCCAGUUACAUUACUCUGAAUGCUUAGUCUUUUGUAUUAGAUCCUCAUGCCUUAACUGUACCUUUGCCCAAAUUGCAUAUCAGAAUCAGAAUCAGAAUGAGCUUUAUUGCCAGGUAUCGUUGACUGGAAGUCUGUCAGUCCAGAUGUGAGGAGGACAUACAGAGUGGAGCUGGAGAUCAGCAGGUGUGAUGGCUGUAAAUACUGUGGUCUUGGAAAGAAGGGGGUCGUCACAGCUUUCUAUUCAGACAAAGAGUUUAAUGGAUUCUUUUCUAUGGACUGCUUCUACAGAAUGAAUAAAUGAGUGGUUUAUCUAUCUAUCUUUUUUUUUUUUUACUUGAAUUGGCGACUGAAACUGAAAGGUAAAUAAAUGUUUAGUGGAUAAAGCUGUGUCUGUUUGCUUAAUUGGUUAAUGUCACUUAAAAUAAUGUUACUAAACUCGUCUGACUAAUUUUUAAAUUUGAUAAUUUAGUGGUAUUGUCAAAUAUUUAUUUUUCUCUAUCAGGCAAAGGGUAACACUUACAAUAAGGUUUCAUUUGCUGACUGAUGUAUUAACUAUCAUUA